rnacentral:tRNA from 1 species
AUUAGGUGACUGAAAGCAAGUAAUGGUCUCUUAAACCACUCAAUAGUAAAUUAGCGAUUACUCCUAAUGAC